CAAUAGCGUAUACUAAUGUUGUUGCAGUUAAAAAGCUCGUAGUUGAACUUCUGGUAGGAGUGUCCCGGCCUUUUUGUUUUUACAACUUGUAUGCUGUGUGACAUCUCUGGCCAUCCUUCUUCUUUGUUUAAAGAAGAUCUUUCACUGUAAAAAAAUUAGGGUGUUCAAAGCAAAAGUUUCUUUGGAAUAUAUUAGUAUGGGAUGAUAAGAUAGGCUCUAGAUGCUAUUUUGUUGGUUUGCACAUUUAGAGAAUGAUUAACAGGGACAGUUGGGGGUAUUCGUAUUUACAUGUCAGAGGUGAAAUUCUUGGAUUUUGGAAAGACGAACUACUGCGAAAGCAUUUACCAAGGAUGUUUUCAUUAA
rnacentral:rRNA from 1 species